GAAGACAGACUCAUGGCAUGCCCAUCCAAAUUCCUGGCUCAGACCUCGACCGAAGAUGACUAGCGCACACUCUGUGAGACAUCCGUGGAGAGAUGUCUUGGUGGAUAAGAACACUGGCUGAUCUUCUGGAGGACCCAGCUCCUAUAUGAUGACUCAAUGUCUGCAACUCUAGUUCCAGGCGACCUUACCUCUCUUUUGACCUCCAAGGGCUCCAGCCACACAUGUGGUACACUGACAUAUAUGCAGGCAGAACAUUCAGACACAUAUAGCACCUGACUCAAGAAAACAGAAUGGAAUAAAUACAUUGCCUCUCUUGUCAUGGAGAACGCUGUGGCCAUCGGUUCAGAAGUGGUUUUCCAGACUCACCCUUCUCUCCUUCCUACUUCCAAUGUACUAGCAAGUGGUGUUUGUUGUUGUUGUUGAUAAUGAUGAUGGUGGUGGUGGUGGUGAUGGUGAUGAUGUGGAUGUGUCAAGACAGUUUUACUAUGUAGUCCAACCUGGCCUAGAACUCACAAUGCAGCCUAGGCUGACCUAGAACUCACAAUAUAGUCUCCAGUCUCCAACAAUGCUGGUAUUGCAAGGGUGCCCAGCAGCAAGGAGCCUGGAGCUGGGAGGAAGUGCAAGGCCCCACUUCUACAUUGCUGAAUUAAAAUCUCUCUAUACAUGGCACAUAUUACAAGUAAAAGAGAGA
ensembl:processed_transcript